rnacentral:rRNA from 1 species
UACGUAGGGUGCAAGCGUUGUCCGGAAUUAUUGGGCGUAAAGAGCUCGUAGGCGGUUUGUCGCGUCUGCUGUGAAAACUCGGGGCUUAACUCCGGGCCUGCAGUGGGUACGGGCAGACUAGAGUGCGGUAGGGGAGACUGGAAUUCCCGGUGUAGCGGUGAAAUGCGCAGAUAUCGGGAAGACACCCGUGGCGAAGGCGGCUUUCUGGGACGGUACUGACGCUGAGACGCGAAGGCGUGGGGAGCGAACAGG